rnacentral:rRNA from 1 species
GGAAUAUUGGACAAUGGGCGAAAGCCUGAUCCAGCCAUGCCGCGUGUGUGAAGAAGGUCUUCGGAUUGUAAAGCACUUUAAGUUGGGAGGAAGGGCAGUAAGCGAAUACCUUGCUGUUUUGACGUUACCGACAGAAUAAGCACCGGCUAACUCUGUGCCAGCAGCCGCGGUAAUACAGAGGGUGCAAGCGUUAAUCGGAAUUACUGGGCGUAAAGCGCGCGUAGGUGGUUUGUUAAGUUGAAUGUGAAAUCCCCGGGCUCAACCUGGGAACUGCAUCCAAAACUGGCAAGCUAGAGUAGGGCAGAGGGUGGUGGAAUUUCCUGUGUAGCGGUGAAAUGCGUAGAUAUAGGAAGGAACACCAGUGGCGAAGGCGACCACCUGGGCUCAUACUGACACUGAGGUGCGAAAGCGUGGGGAGCAAACAGGAUUAGAUACCCGUG